AUUGAACGCUGGCGGCAUGCUUUACACAUGCAAGUCGAACGGUAACAGGCCGCAAGGUGCUGACGAGUGGCGAACGGGUGAGUAAUGCAUCGGAACGUGCCCAGUCGUGGGGGAUAACGCAGCGAAAGCUGUGCUAAUACCGCAUACGAUCUGUGGAUGAAAGCGGGGGACCGAAAGGCCUCGCGCGAUUGGAGCGGCAGAUGUCAGAUUAGGUAGUUGGUGGGGUAAAGGCUCACCAAGCCAACGAUCUGUAGCUGGUCUGAGAGGACGACCAGCCACACUGGGACUGAGACACGGCCCAGACUCCUACGGGAGGCAGCAGUGGGGAAUUUUGGACAAUGGGCGCAAGCCUGAUCCAGCAAUGCCGCGUGCAGGAAGAAGGCCUUCGGGUUGUAAACUGCUUUUGUCAGGGAAGAAAUCUUCUGGGUUAAUACCUCGGGAGGAUGACGGUACCUGAAUAAGAAGCACCGGCUAACUACGUGCCAGCCGCCGCAGUAAGAC
rnacentral:rRNA from 1 species